rnacentral:lncRNA from 1 species
GUUUGGACAAGACGAGGAGGCGCACUCAGAGUCAGAGACCCCGGGGCAGAGACAGGGGCAAGAAGAAGGGGCCACCGAGACCCCAAGAGAGUCAGGGAGACAGACGCACCAAACGACCGACACAACCAGGGACAGCAGGGAGGAAAAGUUGCCUAUCUGUUGGGUCAGAUUUCUGAAGACUGAUGAGGCCCAUUUUCUGAUAUCCUUCGAGUUGGAUUUCGACUGGGUUCUGCCAGUGGGAUGUAUCCAUGCGAGAUUCUGGAACUAACAUCAGAGAGAGUCCAAGCUUCUAACUUUUAUCAGCGGCAGUGACAAUAGUCAAGCAGCAUUGAUGACAAACGGCAAGAGUUUAGAAAGUACCAGUGACGUGCCUGAUAGAAUCUCACCACAAGAUGGAAGCCAACUCGUCAGAAGCCUGGAAAGCCCACCCAGCGUGGGACCUCUGUGGGUCCAGGAUCUUGGAAUGGUAUCCCAUGGUUCAAUCUUCUGGAUUCAACCACAUAAAUUUACCCCACCCAUGUCGUGGACCCAAGCUUCCUACCAUGUAUACUUAGCUUAAAUGCAAGAUAGUACUAUUUUGUUCAUCUUGAUUGGAGUGAGAAAUGAAUAGGUCCAUGCACAUAUAUUUCUUUUACCACAACAAGAUGAUGAAGAAAUAAAUCCAUAAUAUCGAUACUUUUGUAUAAGUUGUGUUUACAGUUGCGGUAAGAAAUUUUAUAAUUGUUGAUUUGCUUUAUAUAAUUUCUGCUUGCUUUUUAUGAUAUUUAAAACAAAAUCUAAGCAACAAAUUUUAUGUCUGAUUAGAUUUACAGAAGCUGCUUAAGUGCUUAGGGAUAAUUUGUUCAUCAUAUUUGUAAGUCUCCCUUGUUAGGUGUUUGAAGUGUUUGAAUUGGCUAAAUUAAAUUUGUAAUUGUAGUUUGAAAUAUCUAAAGGAAUUUUCUUAAUUAAGUGUUUAAAUGAUGUUAAAAGUUUGUGGGAAUUUAAUCUAUCAAAUUUAUGAGUUAAUUGAAUAUGAAUCAAUGAACAAGUAAAUGUGAUCUUGCUUUUAUAUAAAAACUACUAAGUUCAUAAAUAAAAUACAAAGAUCCAUAAGUUGAGAGGAAAAGCAAAAGAGCCAGAUUCUAAGAUCUAUAACUUAAAAAAAUUAAAUAUUGAUUGAAAUGUAAGUCAUUGCAAUUAUCCCCACUAGCUGAAAUCUCACAUCUGAGUGCUUACACACAAAACAAAAUGUUACCCUGAACAUACUAAACAAAUAAAAAACCACGUGGUAAUUACUA